UGAGACCUCCACAGAAGACCCUGAA
rnacentral:misc_RNA from 1 species